rnacentral:rRNA from 1 species
UACGAAGGGGGCUAGCGUUGCUCGGAAUCACUGGGCGUAAAGGGUGCGUAGGCGGGUCUUUAAGUCAGGGGUGAAAUCCUGGAGCUCAACUCCAGAAUUGCCUUUGAUACUGAGGAUCUUGAGUCCGGGAGAGGUGAGUGGAACUGCGAGUGUAGAGGUGAAAUUCGUAGAUAUUCGCAAGAACACCAGUGGCGAAGGCGGCUCACUGGCCCGGUACUGACGCUGAGGCACGAAAGCGUGGGGAGCAAACAGG